rnacentral:rRNA from 1 species
UACGAGAGGCCCAACCGUUAUUCGGAUUCACUGGGCUUAAAGAGUUCGUAGGCGGUCUAGAAAGUUGGGUGUGAAAGCCCUCGGCUCAACCGAGGAACUGCGCUCAAAACUACUAGACUUGAGGGAGAUAGAGGUGAGCGGAACUGAUGGUGGAGCGGUGAAAUGCGUUGAUAUCAUCAGGAACACCGGAGGCGAAGGCGGCUCACUGGGUCUCUACUGACGCUGAGGAACGAAAGCUAGGGGAGCAAACGGG